rnacentral:rRNA from 1 species
GCACAGCUAACGCACUAAGUAGACCGCCUGGGGAGUACGGCCGCAAGGUUAAAACUCAAAUGAAUUGACGGGGGCCCGCACAAGCGGUGGAGCAUGUGGUUUAAUUCGACGCAACGCGAAGAACCUUACCUGGCCUUGACAUGCAGAGAACUUUCCAGAGAUGGAUUGGUGCCUUCGGGAACUCUGACACAGGUGCUGCAUGGCCGUCGUCAGCUCGUGUCGUGAGAUGUUGGGUUAAGUCCCGUAACGAGCGCAACCCCUAUCCCUAGUUGCUAGCAGUUCGGCUGAGAACUCUAGGGAGACUGCCGGUGACAAACCGGAGGAAGGUGGGGAUGACGUCAGGUCAUCAUGGCCCUUACGGCCAGGGCUACACACGUGCUACAAUGGUGCGUACAGAGGGCUGCAAACCCGCGAGGGGGAGCUAAUCUCACAAAACGCAUCGUAGUCCGGAUCGGAGUCUGCAACUCGACUCCGUGAAGUCGGAAUCGCUAGUAAUCGCGAAUCAGAAUGUCGCGGUGAAUACGUUCCCGGGCCUUGUACACACCGCCCGUCACACCAUGGGAGUGGAUUGCACCAGAAGUGGUUAGUCUAACCUUCGGGAGGACG